rnacentral:rRNA from 1 species
UUGAAAGGGAAACGAUUGAAGUCAGUCAUGCUGACGGGAAUCAACUUAGAGGAAACUCUGGGUGCACUUCUUCGUUUGGCAGGUUAGUGUCGAUUUUGGAUGUCAUAAAAUAAUUGGGGGAAGGUAGCUCUUUCGGGAGUGUUAUAGCCCUUGGUAGAUGUGAUGUCUGGGAUCGAGGAUUGCAACGGAUNCCCUUCGGGGCUAACCGCCUGAUCUCUAAUUGGUGUUGGGUUACGGACAGCAUGCUGACCGUGAUCUGAUUACUGGUUAAAAGGUUAGAGCGUGUAUAAAUUCGUUAAGGAUGUUGACGUA